AGUGAACGCUGGCGGUAGGCCUAACACAUGCAAGUCGAACGGCAGCACAGUAAGAGCUUGCUCUUACGGGUGGCGAGUGGCGGACGGGUGAGGAAUACAUCGGAAUCUACUUUUUCGUGGGGGAUAACGUAGGGAAACUUACGCUAAUACCGCAUACGUCCUACGGCUGAAAGCAGGGGAUAUUCGGACCUUGCGUGAUUGAAUGAGCCGAUGUCGGAUUAGCUAGUUGGCGGGGUAAAGGCCCACCAAGGCGACGAUCCGUAGCUGGUCUGAGAGGAUGAUCAGCCACACUGGAACUGAGACACGGUCCAGACUCCUACGGGAGGCAGCAGUAGGGAAUAUUGGGCAAUGGGCGCAAGCCUGAUCCAGCCAUACCGCGUGGGUGAAGAAGGCCUUCGGGUUGUAAAGCCCUUUUAUUGGGAAAGAAAAGCAGCAGGUUAAUACCCCGCUGUUCUGACGGUACCCAAAGAAUAAGCACCGGCUAACUUCGUG
rnacentral:rRNA from 1 species